rnacentral:rRNA from 1 species
CAGGUCUGGGAGAUGUCAGGAUAGCAGGUGUCAAGUCCGUGAGACCAAAGGCCGUGAGAAGUGUAGGUGCUUCUGCCCCUUAGGAUAUUCUAUGAACAGUUCUAUGGGAAAAUAUUGGGACAUAUAAAAAAAGACAACUCUGUUCUACAGAGUAGCUGUUGACAUUAUAGUUGCGCAGGAAAUUUGUUGACUCUAGAGAACCUCGGGUAAAUCGUACAUCCCCGUGGCGGCGACUUUGCAUGCGGAUGUCAUCCAUAUCAACUUUCGAUGCCAGUUUCUGCGCCUACCAUGGUGACCACAGGUAACUGGGAAUCAGGGUUCCAUUCCGUACAGGGAACCUGAGAAACGGCUACCACAUGCAAGGAAGGCAG